ensembl:lncRNA
GGAGAACAUUGCUGCCCGAGUCAAUGCGUAAGUUUAAAUCACAAUAAUAUUACAGGAAAACUGUUUAAUAGCAGCCUAUUCUGUUAUUUCAUUUAGGUGCAAUCCUGCAGGGGAGAAGCGCAUGUGGCAGCAGCUGAAGAUGAAAUGUAAGAACAUUGUUCAAACAGCCAACAGAAAGAAAGCAGAUGCCUGUAAAAAGGGAGGAGGCCCAGCAGCACCACCUGUAACGGAGGCAGAGGAGCUGGUCCUAAGCCAGAAUUUGGGAAGGCCAGUGGCUGAGGGAAUCCCUGGAGGGAGCUCAUCCUCUGAGACCACAUCCCAAGACACAAGCAAGAGGAAAAGGUGCAAC